rnacentral:tRNA from 1 species
GCUGGUGUAGCUCAAUUGGUAGAGCAGCGCAUUCGUAAUGCGCAGGUUACCGGUUCAAGUCCGGUCACCAGCU